AUAGCACUGAAACAGCCAGAGAACAACCGCCCGUGAUUUCAGGAGAUCUCAUUACAGAAAUGUUGCCGUUCAGAGAAAACGACUCGGUCUCUGAAUGUGUUCAAACCAGCACAUUCUCACUAACUCUUCACGUGUGGACGUUUGGUUACGGACCCUCAGCCUCACUUUUGAUGUUUUGGGUUUCAACAACUCGUCAUUUGUUAAUGUGCUGGCAGUUCCCAUUAACUCAGAGGUCCGGUCAUUACGUCAGACGCAGUACUGGCGCGGACUGAACCUUGGGAUGCGGUCGGUACCGGUACCCUAAACCUAGCCUAGUCUGCGUCUGGUCCUGCGUACAAAACGGGUACCACAUCCAGAACUGGUACCGAUUCGCAUUCAGUACCAGGUUAAAGUUUAGGUUAGGAUACCGUUGCUGUCCAUGUUCCAGUACCGGACUGAUACCGGUUUGUGGCCUGGAGGUUGGGGAGCCGUGGUUAACGGGAACAAUCAACGUCUGAAAACGACAAUUCAGGGACACCCAAAACAUUAAUGUUUGAUGUAGAGGGGUCCUUAAGCAAACACCAAACUGCGACAACUUGGGAGUGAGAAUGUGUUGAUCCAAACGCCUCCAUCUGCUGCCAGAACAUCUACAUGAUCCAAUCCUCUGAUCGAUUCAGUCCCGAUCCAUUCUGGUCCCUCCCACAGAGAUCCUCAGCAUCUCUGCACCAACCACAAGGAUCUCCUCCUCCUUCUCCUCCAGCUCACAUCCUACCUGGGGGGCAAAACCACUGACAACACCCAACAUCACUUCACCUUCCUCAUCCUCUCUGCCCCUCUCUUCAUCUCCAGAACGUUCUAAUCUAACUCCUCUGUUCUUCUGUCCAGAUCAAGAUGACCAAACAUUUUGAUCUGGUGUAGAAGUUGUUUCUGGUCCUCAUGCUGGAGCUGACUUUGGUUUAGUAUCAGAUGCUGUUCCUGACUCCCCCUCUGCAUGUUCCCGGGACCGCACACAAACAUCUGUGACUUGUGCUGGAUGCAAAAAUAAGAACAAAUAAACAUCUUCUACGUUUUUUAAAGAUAAGUCCUCUUCUUCUCCUGCUCAGAAAUAUUUUCUGUCCUCCUGCAUCUUCUCUUCCUGCCUUUGUCUUCUGCUUUUUUCUCUUUGAAAAUGGAUUUGAGAAUCUGGUUUAUGAAUUCCAUCAACAACACACUGAGAAACAUUAAAGUAGACCCGUCCUGCCCUCAAUACCCGUCCUGCCCUCAAUGCCCGUCCUGCCCUCAAUGCCCGUCCUGCCCUCAAUACCCGUCCUGCCCUCAAUACCCGUCCUGCCCUUGGUUGUUCACUGCCGUUGUGUCCUUGAGCAAGGAACAGACCUCCUCCGUUGCGUUUAUAGUCGAAACUGCAGUAUUGUUUUGGACAACCACAGCUCCUGAAGGACAGAACAGGUCAGAAAGCAACAAGCCCCGCCCCCUCACCAGCAGCACGUCAUUGCGGACGAUGAAGAGCUGUUUGGCCCACUGUCCCAGCCACUUCCUCCUCCACAGGACUCGUAGUGGCUGCUGUCCGACUCCGCCUUCUCUAGAAUUGAGAAGAACUUUGGUUUGAUGGCUUGGUUCUGGCUCUGAACAGGUUUGUGUCUGUCAGGUACCGGUGCUGGGCAGUGUGGUGCUGGCAGCCAUGUAGGGCUCCGCCUCCUCAUACAUGUCCUCGUCGUCUCCUCCCAAACCUCCUGGAGGAUGGGGGGGCACAGAGGGGUUCUGCUGAGGACACAGUAACAGAAACCUUAAAAUGACCCACUUUGGGCUGUUUUAACCCAAAAGGGACAAGAUUUGUUCUGGGUUAAUUCAAUUCAGGAAAAAAUAAUCAAUUGGUGUAAAAUGAAACCACAAUAUAGAUCCCAACAUGAAUGAAGAGUUUUAAGGCGUAAAGUCAGACUAGUCUUAUUAUUUUCAUUGUUUUUGUUUUUUAUUUUUGACAGACAGGAGUUAUUUUCAAAGUAAGACAUCCUGUUUGACUCAGGAUUAUGUGACGGUAGGUAAACAAGGUAACCCAAGAGCAGGAGAAUGGCAGCAGUCCUUAAAUCCACUCUCAGGUUUUUAAUCAAAGGAAACAGUCGUACACCCAGAGGUACGAAGACGCUGAGACAGUACAAAGAGAACCACACCUGUUUGUACACACAUGAACUUAAUGAGGGAUGGGAACACCUGUGGCUCACACAGGAGACCUCUUGGAAAGGAGGGCACUGCAACAGAUUAUACUUUUCAUGAAUAUUAUGGUCGGUAUUUGAUAUGGAUCCUCUAUGAGGAUGUUCUAGACUCAGCAUCCUUCUUCACUGUCUCUCCUCUGGACAUGUCUGAACAUCUCAGUCUGGACCAAUGAGAUCUCUUAUCUGGAAACGACCGCGAUCAGUUCAGGAUUUUCUGCCCUUUGAUUUUAUGAUCAGCCGGGAAACGAUCAGAAAGGCAAACAUGAAGAAGGUGAGGGCGCUGCAAGGAAUUAUGGCAUUGAAGUUUGUCUCCACUGAAAGAAAACUGACAUUCCAAAAACCUUCUGCUGCAAUGUGACAUUUAGCUAAUAUGUGUUUGUUGUGUGAUUAGUGUGUGUCUCUAUUGUGUAUGGGAAUCACGUAGCCCAGAAGCUAAUCAGCUGCCAUCAUGACCACUUCCUCCCUCUGAAGCUGUUCACCAAUCAGACGCUGAAGAGACGGCCCCAUUUACAAACAAAGAAUGUCCAAGGAUAGGAACAUUUUUUCCAACGUCUCCAUGGUGACCACAGUUCCAUCAACAGACUGUCGAUAUGAGACCUUAUGACUGGAAGAGACCAGGAAAAGCUGAUGAACACCUGAAGAACACCUGAUGAACACCUGAAGAACAUCUGAUGAACACCUAAAGAACACCUGAAGAACACCUGAAGAACAUCUGAUGAACACCUAAAGAACACCUGAAGAAUACCUGAAGAACACCUGAUGAACACCUGAUGAACACCCGAUGAACACCUGAUGAACACCUGAUGAACACCUGAAAAACACCUGAUGAACACUUGAAGUACACCUGAUGAACACCUGAUGAACACCUGAAGAACACCUGAUGAACACCUGAAAAACACCUGAUGAACACCUGAAGAACACUUGAAGUACACCUGAAGAACACCUGAUGAACACCUGAAGAACACCUGAUGAACACCUGAUGAACACCUGAUGAACACCUGAUGAACACCUGAAGAACACCUGAUGAACACCUGAAGAACACCUGAAGAACACCCGAUAAACACUUGAAGAACACCUGAAGAACACCUGAUGAACACCUGAAGAACACCUGAUGAACACCUGAUGAACACCUGAUGAACACCUGAUAAACACUUGAAGAACACCU